GAUAAACGCUGGCGGCGCACAUAAGACAUGCAAGUCGAACGAACUUAAUUGAGAGCUUGCUCUCAAAGCGGUUAGUGGCGGACUGGUGAGUAACACGUAAGCAACCUGCCUAUUAGAGGGGAGUAACAGCGAGAAAUCGUUGCUAAUACCGCAUAUGCUGCGAGUAUCGCAUGAUACAAGCAGGAAAGGAGCAAUCCGCUAAUAGAUGGGCUUGCGUCUGAUUAGUUAGUUGGUGGGGUAACGGCCUACCAAGACGAUGAUCAGUAGCCGGACUGAGAGGUUGAACGGCCACAUUGGGACUGAGAUACGGCCCAGACUCCUACGGGAGGCAGCAGUCGGGAAUAUUGCGCAAUGGAGGAAACUCUGACGCAGUGACGCCGCGUGCAGGAAGAAGGUUUUCGGAUUGUAAACUGCUUUUAACAG
rnacentral:rRNA from 1 species